UUUUGAUAGCCAACAUUCAAGAUUUUAGGUUUAUGGUAUACAUUAUUUAUUCAAGUUCUACAACGGUAGACACGGCCUUAAUAAGAUGGUGAAGAAAAGGAUAAAGGUACAAUUCAUGGUUUUUUUUUUCAUUACGUGUUUUACAGAGCUUUAAUUCAUUUGAUUUUACAGACAAAUUCAAGAUUUUUGGUUUCUGGGUUUAGAACCCUUGCGCUUAAUGGGUUCAAGAUGACAUAUUAAUUCAGUAUCUCUGUGAAAGAGGGGACCUAACACCAUUGUCAACUAUUUGCCUUUAAUGCAUGCCUGAUGUAUGUAUAUUACUGUGGCUCAAGAAGAACACAGAAAAUACUUAAGAUAGAAAUAGAGCAAAUAAUAAACGGACCAACAAACCAAAAACUCUUGAACAAUAAGGUUUAUUCAUGGUUGUUUUGUGUUAUAUGAAAGUAUUUGACUAGACAAGGAGCUUAAGAUAGAAAUAAGUUAAAUAUAUAUAACAUACCAAAUACCAAAAACUAGUUCCAGAAGUAUCUUCCAUUUAUCUUGACCUAGACUGAUAUCGAUGCUGAUGAUAUUUGCCAUUGUCAAUUGUUUAGUGUGUGUCUGUGUGUGUGUGUACAUAUAUAUUAUUUGGGUCUUACUAAACUACUACAUGAAGGUAGUACAUUAGCAUCCUCCCCAAAUUUAUUUCCCUCACCUUUGCUUCACCCAAAACGCCAUUCUCUGUACUAUUUUCGGGGCAAUCAAUCAAGCAGAUAUGGUUCUUUUUGACAAUCCAAUGAAUUCUUUUUUGGGAAAUUUGUAUGAAUGUCGAGAAGGCCCUUUUUUUAGUGAGCUGUCAAAAAUAGUAAGGACAUGUUAGUGAACUAAAAAGUGGGGAGAAUGAUAAUAAUCUUCAUUCUCCUUCCGAGGGAUAUCCUAUCUAUUUGGCCUCCAUAAGUCUUGAAAACUGGGGUCAAAAGUUUUUACAUUCAGGUAAUCUUGUUUCAUAUCAAAGAAAGGUAGAAAAACACACCAUUGGAUUUCUUCUCAAAGUAAUAAACUUCUUUACUCUUGGUAUUUAUUGGUCUCCUACAUGUUAGUUCCUCCAAAAGUAUGUCAUAAAGAUAAAAUGAGAGUGCUAAGAUCAAUGAAUUUACAUAUAUCGGAAGUAGCAGUUUUUUUAAGCGUGCUAAAAAGAAAAUGUGACAUUGUAGUGACUAUGUUUGAAUAUUUUUAGCUUAACUUGGGAAGUGCAGAGUUGCAUAUUGCAUGAUAAGGGAUAUUUUUUAAAAAAAAUUGUAAGAAAACAUUAGCUAGGCUAACAUAUAUGAUAAUCAAUUGCAUUUUACUGAGUAUAGAUUAUGCUUUUGAAUUUCUUCAAUAUAAAUAAGUACCCAUCUAAUGUGCACUUACUUGUGUCAUGUGUGUUGUGUGGUUGUGAUGGAUUGUUUGAUAUCUCCAGUGUCUCUGAAUAGUAUAGUGGAGUGCGGAUUUAGAAUACUAUUCUUACCAGCAAAAAGAAAGUUUACAGUGCUUUUACCCAUAAAAGGAAGUUUUGCUUUAUUAUGCUAAUUCAAAUUUUGCCUUUCUGAACAAUUGAUGCAAUGGUUAUAAGUGAAUCCCGUCUUUGAUGAUUCAUCUGGUGUUUUUGGGAUGCUUGGUGGACUGAUAGUCAUAAAUGCUUGUAGUACACAGUGAUUGAAUGAGUUUCCCUUCAGUGAUUUCUUGUUUGUUUCUUAUUGUUUAGAGUUGAGUUUACUUUGGUUCUUCCCUUUUUUCCUUCCUCCCCUGGUAGGCAAAGUGAUAUUUGCUUCCUUAAGUUAUAGAAAAGGAGAAGAAAGAGGAGGUGCAGGAAAGAGUUGGGAAGAUGUCAAUUAAAAAUAAUUAAUGUAAGAUUUGGGAAGAUGUCAAUUAAAAAUAAUUAAUGUAGAUAGAUCUCGGUAAUUUUAUGAGCUAACAUUCGUUUUAUUUUUCUUGUCAGUAUUUUGUUUCACUUAUCGUUCAUGUUCUACGACCUUUUUCCGUGCGUCUGACUGCAUUGUAGUGCACUUGUCAGUUUUGAAGAAAAUUCCCCUUAUGCAGAAUCUGGUCUCGUGAUAGUUUGGUUACGGGAAGAAAACUUUUCAACUCAUUUUCUUAAUAAUACAAAUAAAGGGGUUGAGCUAAAGCUACUGGGUUCUACUGAACUUGUAAUUUGUAUUGUGGCUACACCCUAAUUGAUCUGGUCUUAUGAUUUAUUGUUGUUUAAUAGAUGGAAUGAUAGAUUAAUUGAAGUUUAAUUAGUAAUAUAGACUUUGGUGGAAAAUGGACAGUGGAGGAUGGUUCAUAGUUAGUUCAGCUUAUAAGCUUCUCAAUAGAGAGUUAAAAUACCCUAUCGAGUAGCAUGUUUCAGCUGGUUGUUUGCCUGGGAAGGGGUGUUGACACAUGACAACCUUAGCAAGAGAAAUUUCAACCUUUGCUCAAAGUGCUACAUGUGUGGUGAAGAAAUUGAGACAGUCAGCCAUCUAUUCCUUAAUUGUAGGAUCACAGAGAUGCUAUGAAAGAUCUUCAUUAGCCUUAGAGGUAUUGGUUGGGCAAUGCCAAGAAAGAUUAUUGAGGUCUUACUCAACUGGGAAGAAGCAGGUACAGGAUUGACACACAGAGAUAGAUGGAGGAUUGUCCUGGCUUGCAUUUGGUGGACAAUCUGGAAAGAAAGGAAUUUCAGAUGUCUUGAAGACUUAGCAGUUCAGUUCAGAGGAUUAAGUUGAACUGCUUUAGACUUUUCUGCUUUUGGGUUGACCAGAGAUACAUAGAAGAUACUGUUUCAAUGAUAGACGCCCUUGUUUUUUUUUGUUAGGCUGAUGAAGCAGUUUUGUUCAUCUUUUUCACUUGUAACUAUGGUUUUAGCACAACCUGGGAUUUGGUCACUAGGCCACAUCCUUGGGUAGAUUUUCUGAAGUUUCUAGUGACAAAAAUCUGUAAACAAUGGUCAAUUGGAAGGAUUUGGAAUUUGGAUAGCAGCUAGUUAAAGAUUCUUGAUUUAACUAUCUUUUGGCGCCAUUGAUUUAGAUUUCAUGGUCAGUCCUUAUAAUGAGAGUUAAGUAUCGUAUCCUUAUCAAAUACUUGAAUUCCGUUAAUGCCAAUAAUUUUUCUUCCUGUUUCCAUCUUGGUACAUGAUUAUGGCCCGUGUAGCGUUGCUUGUCAUCAUUUAACGAAUAGAAUAUAAUCUUUCCGUUGUCCAGGCUUACUGCUGUGUUAUUUGAUUAGACGAUACAUGUUAAGCUAAUUGAGGUGGAUUUUUGUUUCAGACUGAAAUGAGAAGCAAUUCUGAGGAAAUGCACCAAGUUGAUUGUGAGAACAAUCAUCAUGGUGUCUGUGCCAUAUGUUUGAAUAAGAUAAUGCUCCAAGAAACUGCUCUUGUAAAAGGUUGUGAGCAUGUUUACUGUGCUGCUCUUGAGCAUCCCCAUAGUAUUAUGAGGAUGACGAAAAGCUAGAAGACUUAUGUUUUACUAGUUCACCAAAUCUUCUGCAUAGGCAACAGGAGAUGGGGCGAUAAUGGUUAUGUCAGGACAGGAAAGCAAGAAGCAAGGCCUGCUCAUCGACCAAACUCCCAGGACUCAGGUGCUGGAUCAUCACGCCAAACUAAGAAGAAAGAGACUGUUGUUCCUAAGUGUGAAGCUGCUGAUAAGGUGGCUGAUGAAAAGCACCAUCUCUAAUGAAUGAAGGUUCAUGACAUAUCUGUAGAAUAGUGCCCAUUGUUUAGAUGAUGAGUUUACUAAAUGGCAUGAACCAUUUCAUGCAUGUUAAUAUCUCUCAGAGAAGAAAUUAUGUCAAUGGGGAAGCAAGGACUCUUAUUUCCACCAUUUUUAUAUGUACAUGGUUCGAUUGAGGUAUAAAAUGUUUGGAGGAUUUAGCAUUA